ACGCUCGGCAACGUACUUGCCACGCACGUCGCCUCCGACCACACAAAUUGGGACGUCAUUCUGCCCUUCGUGGCCUACGCGUAGGACACCGGCACUCGGAGCCCUACCGGCUUUCCACCCGUUUUCUUACUUUGCGGUGGGCCCCUGUGGCACACCAUCGACACAAUUCUACCAUACGGGCUGGAUAUAUCUGAAUGCGCGCCCAUUUCUGCCACGGCAAAACAUUGUGAAGAGUGCCACGAUCUCGCUCGGGCCUUUACCUCCAGUGACCAAGAGCGCCAGAAGAACACUCGCGGUGACACCACUUCUGCGCGGACCUUCCUUCCUGGAACGCUUGUGUGGCUCUCGCCUCCUUCCGCUGCACCUGGUCUCUCUUCGAGAGUGCUAGCCAAGUACGAAGGGCGCUACCGUGUCUUCGAACGCGUAUCCCCGUCAACUACGUGAUCGAACCCGUUGAACCGCCUUCGGACAUGCGCCGUCGUGGACGAGACAUUGUCAACGUCCAGCGCCUCAAGCCGUAUACUAUGAUCCACUCUAAUUGAGGAGCUGUUAGGUCGCCGGUCGGCUGCCUUUUCGUUCCCCGGGGUAAUUGUAGCGAAGAACAGGGACGCUGUAGUGGGCCGCCUUCUCCAGCGCUUUUGCGCGGGGAACGCUGCGCAUGGUUAGAAGCGCGCGAGACCGCUUAACGCGUUCGGUGCCUCAUUCCAGCACUCCUUCCGGAAAGCCCGAAGGUAAGAACCCCUUGGAGCUGUCGAGUCUUCUAGCGGUUUGGUGUUCUACGGACGCUGGUAUCGGGUUUCAAGCCGUGAAUGUCGGUUCCAAUUGUCGGUGACAAAUACAAGCCUUAAAUUCUGUUUCUUUAUUUUUCAGCUACCUGUGAUGGAAAACGUCGUAGUUCUUCACAGACACUGUGCUCCCCGACAAAAGCAAAUUGGAGAUCUUCACCGUGCGGCGCUGCCCUUCGGGGGCGCCAUGACCAUAGGCAACACAUUUAAAGCCGUCGCAAAUGGACAUCUUUCCUUCACUGACGCGAAGCUCAAGGAAGCCAAGGAAAGGUUACACAACAAGGGGGUGGAUGUCAGCCGUGCUGACAAUAGGAGUGCGACCUUGCACGUCAUUGACGAAAAGGUGGCAUCUGAUGCUAUGGCCAACGUUUCCUUCUGCAGUUCCAAGCAGUGAAGAUCAGUGACAUGAAACUUCUCCUAUCCAUAACGAAUAUAGAAAGAGUUAAACAAAGUGUUGAGGAUAAACAGCCUGUAGGCCAUGCUGACCAAUCGGUUGAUGUAGAACUGGCCUCCCACAAGAUCCGAGUUGACAUGGAUCACAAGAAAACGCGCCAGGAUGACGGCACAGAAAAGGACGAGACCUUAAUAACAGCCACAUACCGCGGCCUCACGGAAGAGCUUGCUAGAAAGCUGGUGAAAUAUUUUGUUGAGGGCCUGUGAAUAAAAUGUCAUUUUCACUGUAA